rnacentral:rRNA from 1 species
CGAGCGGUAAGGCCCUUCGGGGUACACGAGCGGCGAACGGGUGAGUAACACGUGGGUGAUCUGCCUCGCACUCUGGGAUAAGCCUGGGAAACUGGGUCUAAUACCGGAUAUGAGCACCGAGUGCAUGCUUGGUGUUGGAAAGGUUUACUGGUGCGAGAUGGGCCCGCGGCCUAUCAGCUUGUUGGUGGGGUAAUGGCCUACCAAGGCGACGACGGGUAGCCGGCCUGAGAGGGCGACCGGCCACACUGGGACUGAGACACGGCCCAGACUCCUACGGGAGGCAGCAGUGGGGAAUAUUGCACAAUGGGCGAAAGCCUGAUGCAGCGACGCCGCGUGAGGGAUGACGGCCUUCGGGUUUUAAACCUCUUUCGACAGGGACGAAGCGCAAGUGACGGUACCUGUAGAAGAAGCACCGGCCAACUACGUGCCAGCAGCCGCGGUAAUACGUAGGGUGCGAGCGUUGUCCGGAAUUACUGGGCGUAAAGAGCUUGUAGGCGGUCUGUCACGUCGAUUGUGAAAACUCGCGGCUCAACCGCGAGCCUGCAGUCGAUACGGGCAGACUAGAGUACUUCAGGGGAGACUGGAAUUCCUGGUGUAGCGGUGAAAUGCGCAGAUAUCAGGAGGAACACCGGUGG